rnacentral:misc_RNA from 1 species
CAGAGUUCGUGCCCUUAACGGGUAGAUCUCCCACCCUGUGUUGUCAUUUACCUUUGUUGCUUUGGCGGGCCGUCAGGCCUCUCGGUCAGGCUACCGGCUUGACGGCUGGUAAGCGCCCGCCAGAGGACUCCAAACCCUGAAUGUCAGUGUUGUCUGAGUCUUUAUAAAAUUUUA